UACAAUGAAUAGAGUAUAUCAACUUUAAUUAGGUCCGCUUGCGACUGUAUAUUCCAAAAUAAUACACAAUUUUUCGAAUUACAAUAAGAAACCGUUCACUUUAUAAACUGAAUUUUGGGAAUUAUUAUAUAGACCAAAAAGGCUUUGAAAAAGAAAUAGCUAGCGCAAAAAACCUGUUUUCUGCAACCGAUAACUUUCGUUUUAGGUAUAGAGUGUUGAGUUGAAGCCCAAAGUUGUGUGUUACCUAAAGU